rnacentral:rRNA from 1 species
AGUGAACGCUGGCGGUAGGCCUAACACAUGCAAGUCGAACGGCAGCACAGUAAGAGCUUGCUCUUACGGGUGGCGAGUGGCGGACGGGUGAGGAAUACAUCGGAAUCUACUUUUUCGUGGGGGAUAACGUAGGGAAACUUACGCUAAUACCGCAUACGACCUACGGGUGAAAGCAGGGGAUCUUCGGACCUUGCGCGAUUGAAUGAGCCGAUGUCGGAUUAGCUAGUUGGCGGGGUAAAGGCCCGCCAAGGCGACGAUCCGUAGCUGGUCUGAGAGGAUGAUCAGCCACACUGGAACUGAGACACGGUCCAGACUCCUACGGGAGGCAGCAGUGGGGAAUAUUGGACAAUGGGCGCAAGCCUGAUCCAGCCAUACCGCGUGGGUGAAGAAGGCCUUCGGGUUGUAAAGCCCUUUUGUCGGGAAAGAAAAGCAGCAGGUUAAUACCCCGCUGUUCUGACGGUACCCAAAGAAUAAGCACCGGCUAACUUCGUG